CAGCCAUAUGGAAACAUAACAGUCGUCAUCCUAUGGCUCUUUUCUGCCACCGGUUGCCAGUCAGUACUCCCUGACCCCAACUUGACCUCAUUCCUCCUAACUUAAAGCACACGGCAUUGUUCAGGUUGGGAUUACAUACAACAUAACAAAAUAUAUCUUGACUUUAAACUUUCAUGUAAGCGCUGGUUGGCAAGCACUGGUUUGUAAUCUCUGUGCCUAUCUUGUUCAUACAUUCUUUCUACGCACCGAGCAGAGUAGAGAAACUGUUUUGAAAGAUAACUGAAUUUUAAAGGCAAUAACUGGAUUCCCACAAGGCCCAACUCUAUGAAUGGAGUGCUUUUAUUUAUUUAUUUUUUUCUUGAUGUGGGGGUGCUGGUAGAGAUAUCUACAUUCCACUCAAACAGUUUCUUAAUGGUUCGUUUCCCGUUUCUGCCCUUUCUGUUUCAGGUCACGAAAGCUGGCAGGAGAAGAAGAAAACAGAACAAGCACUAGCAGCGUUAUCCUUCCCUCCACCACAGAGGGAAGGAAGGGAAGCAGAGCGCAAUGAGGAAAAAGACAAGAGUGAUGAAAGAGAGACACACAUAAAUAUUCGUAUGCGUGCCAGAGGAGUGAAAGAGGCAGCCAGGCUCGACUUGAAUCGAAUAAAGGCAGAGGAGUGGACCCCCUGCCGCUUUCCCAUCAUAGCAGAAUUCACUCAGCAUUGUGAAUUCUGGCUACGGCAUCCACACGCAGAUAUACUCUGUCUGUUUAUGCAUGUGUGCUUCUCCGUGUAUGGCUGCAACCUUUAGGUAGCUGGUGCCACAACAAGCUAACAAUAAAGAAUGCACAUAACCCUGAAAUUGAUGUUUAUAUAAAUACCUCUAUUUAUCCAUUUAUUUUACCUUCCAUUUAUGAUGAAUAAUCUUUAGGUUAGAGUAAUGGUGGUUGACCUCAAAAAAACUGCAGUAUAGUAUAAUCAUUAUCCAGAGGACUAAUGGCUUAUUUAUAUAUUAAUGUUAUAUGAGAUGUAUUUUCUGCCAUAAAAAUGAUAGUGCUACUUGCUUUUUCAUGCUGAAGGAAUUACAUUUUAUGUAAUGUGUAAUGUUUUGUGCUGUAAAGCACACCAGCAGAUUGACAAAAUCUACACAUGGUUAAAUGCAGUUAAAAGGCUGAAGGAGGCUGCCAGCCAUCUUGAUGAUAGAACUCCUUGUUUACAGUAAUAAUACCAAAGUCUCGGAAUUAAUGUGUUAUUGACUUAUUGAUGAUAAAACGCCACACAUAGUACAUUUACUUAACAAGAC
rnacentral:lncRNA from 1 species